rnacentral:tRNA from 1 species
GCGCGGGUGGUGGAACUGGUAGACACGUACGUUUGAGGGGCGUAUGCCUAACGGCUUGAGGGUUCGAGUCCCUCCCCGCGCA